AUGGCCUCCGCCUCCUCCCUCUUCCUGGCCUCCCCCACCACCGCGCCAAGGACCCGCACACCCUCCUCCCCGUGCCCCGCUCGGCCGUCCCUGCGCCCCCGGCGGCCGUCCCUGGCGGUGGCGGCCGCGCUCCAGGCGGAGCACCAGCCGGCCGUGGCCGCGGCGCCGAAGCCGCCGGCCCUCCCGUUCCGCGUGGGCCACGGCUUCGACCUCCACCGCCUCGAGCCGGGCCUCCCGCUCAUCAUCGGCGGCAUCAGCAUCCCCCACGACCGCGGCUGCGACGCCCACUCCGACGGGGACGUGCUUCUGCACUGCGUGGUGGACGCGAUUCUCGGCGCCCUGGGGCUGCCGGACAUCGGGCAGAUCUUCCCGGACACCGACCCCCGGUGGAAGGGCGCGGACUCCUGCGUGUUCAUGAGGGAGGCUGUAAAGCUAAUGCAUCAAGCAGGCUAUGAGCUGGGGAACCUUGAUGCUACACUGAUCUUGCAAAAACCAAAAAUUAGCCCGUUCAAGGAGACUAUCCGAUCUAACUUGUGUGAACUACUUGGGGCGGAUCCAUCUGUUGUCAAUAUCAAGGCCAAGACGCAUGAGAAAGUCGACAGUCUAGGAGAAAACAGGAGUAUAGCUGCUCAUACCGUAGUUCUCCUGAUGCGGAAGUAG
rnacentral:rRNA from 1 species